AAGAGUUUGAUCCUGGCUCAGGAUUAACGCUGGCGGCGUGCCUAAUACAUGCAAGUCGAACGGAAACCUUUCGGGGUUUUAGUGGCGAACGGGUGAGUAACACGUAAGUAACCUGCCUUUAAGACGAGAAUAACAAUUGGAAACAGUUGCUAAGGCUGGAUAGGAAAUAAUGAGGCAUCUCGUUAUUUUUAAAAGACCUUCGCAAGAAGGUAUGCUUAAAGAGGGGCUUGCGCCACAUUAGUUUGUUGGUAAGGUAACGGCUUACCAAGACGAUGAUGUGUAGCUGGACUGAGAGGUUGAACAGCCACAUUGGGACUGAGACACGGCCCAAACUCCUACGGGAGGCAGCAGUAGGGAAUUUUCGGCAAUGGAGGAAACUCUGACCGAGCAACGCCGCGUGAACGAUGAAGUAUUUCGGUAUGUAAAGUUCUUUUAUUAAAGAAGAAACGCUAGUGGAAAAACUAGUUUGACGUUAUUUAAUGAAUAAGCCCCGGCAAACUAUGUGCCAGCAGCCGCGGUAAUACAUAGGGGGCGAGCGUUAUCCGGAAUUAUUGGGCGUAAAGGGUGCGUAGGCGGUUUAGUAAGUCUCUAGUUUAAAUUCAACGCUUAACGUUGUCCUGCUAGAGAAACUACUAGACUAGAGUAAGAUAGAGGCAAGCGGAAUUCCAUGUGUAGCGGUAAAAUGUGUAAAUAUAUGGAGGAACACCAGAGGCGUAGGCGGCUUGCUGGGUCUUUACUGACGCUGAGGCACGAAAGCGUGGGGAGCAAACAGGAUUAGAUACCCUGGUAGUCCACGCCGUAAACGAUGAGUACUAAGUGUCGGGGGUUUCCUCGGUACUGAAGUUAACACAUUAAGUACUCCGCCUGAGUAGUACGUACGCAAGUAUGAAACUUAAAGGAAUUGACGGGAUCCCGCACAAGCGGUGGAUCAUGUUGUUUAAUUCGAAGAUACACGAAAAACCUUACCAGGUCUUGACAUUAUUCUGCGAAGCUAUAGAAAUAUAGUGGAGGUUAUCAGAAUAACAGGUGGUGCAUGGUUGUCGUCAGCUCGUGUCGUGAGAUGUUAGGUUAAGUCCUAAAACGAGCGCAACCCUUGUCGUUAGUUACCAGCACGUUAUGGUGGGGACUUUAGCGAGACUGCCAAUGAAAAAAUUGGAGGAAGGUGAGGAUUACGUCAAAUCAUCAUGCCCCUUAUGAUCUGGGCUACAAACGUGAUACAAUGGCUAUUACAAAGAGCAGCUGAAACGUGAGUUGUUAGCUAAUCUCAAAAAAAUAGUCUCAGUUCGGAUUGAAGUCUGCAACUCGACUUCAUGAAGUUGGAAUCGCUAGUAAUCGCGAAUCAGCAUGUCGCGGUGAAUACGUUCUCGGGGUUUGUACACACCGCCCGUCAAACCAUGAAAGUUGACAAUACCCAAAACCAGUCGCUUAACUACUUCGGUAGAGGGAGCUGUCUAAGGUAGGGUCGAUGAUUGGGGUUAAGUCGUAACAAGGUAUCCCUACCGGAAGGUGGGGAUGGAUCACCUCCUUUCUAAGGAAUUGUCGGAUCAUGAUCAUCUUCAGUUUUGAAAGACUUAGAGUAGAAUAAGUUUUUCUUUUGGCGUAGAGGAAGGGCCUAUAGCUCAGUUGGUAGAGCACACGCUUGAUAAGCGUGCGGUCAAUGGUUCAAGUCCAUUUAGGCCCACCAUACCAUAUUCCUCUUAUUCAAAAAGUUCUUUGAAAAGUAGAUAAACAAAGUCUCUAAUGACACACCAAUGAAGGAAAUAAGGGCGUACAGUGGAUGCCUUGGCACUAAGAGCCGAUGAAGG
rnacentral:rRNA from 1 species